GAUGAACGCUAGCUACAGGCUUAACACAUGCAAGUCGAGGGGUAACGAGAGGAAAGCUUGCUUUCCUUGUCGACGACCGGCGCACGGGUGAGUAACGCGUAUCCAACCUGCCCCCAACUAGGGAAUAACCUUGCGAAAGUAAGACUAAUACCCUAUAAUUUCCUCAGAUGUCAUCUGACGAGGAAUAAAGAUUUAUCGGUUGUGGAUGGGGAUGCGUCUGAUUAGCUUGUUGUCGGGGUAACGGCCCACCAAGGCAACGAUCAGUAGGGGUUCUGAUAGGAAGGACCCCCACAUUGGAACUGGGACACAGUCCAAACUCCUACGGGAGGCAGAAGUGAGGAAUAUUGGUCAAUGGGCGGAAGCCUGAACCAGCCAAGUAGCGUGCAGGAUGACGGCCCUAUGGGUUGUAGACUGCUUUUAUACAGGAAUAAAGUUAGCCACGUGUGGUUAUGUGUAGGUACUGUAUGAAUAAGGACCGGCUAAUUCCGUGCCAGCAGCCGCCGUAA
rnacentral:rRNA from 1 species